AUUGAACGCUGGCGGCAGGCCUAACACAUGCGAGUCGAGCGGAUGAGGGGAGCUUGCUCCCUGAUUUAGCGGCGGACGGGUGAGUAAUGCCUAGGAAUCUGCCUGGUAGUGGGGGAUAACGUUCCGAAAGGAACGCUAAUACCGCAUACGUCCUACGGGAGAAAGCAGGGGACCUUCGGGCCUUGCGCUAUCAGAUGAGCCUAGGUCGGAUUAGCUAGUUGGUGAGGUAAUGGCUCACCAAGGCGACGAUCCGUAACUGGUCUGAGAGGAUGAUCAGCCACACUGGAACUGAGACACGGUCCAGACUCCUACGGGAGGCAGCAGUGGGGAAUAUUGGACAAUGGGCGAAAGCCUGAUCCAGCCAUGCCGCGUGUGUGAAGAAGGUCUUCGGAUUGUAAAGCACUUUAAGUUGGGAGGAAGGGCUGCUGGCUAAUACCCUGCAGUUUUGACGUUACCAACAGAAUAAGCACCGGCUAACUUCGUG
rnacentral:rRNA from 1 species